rnacentral:lncRNA from 1 species
GGCUACAAAACAACAAGUCACGGAUUUGAAUUACAAAAACACAAACGAUUACAACCUACACAAAAUGGAUAGAUAGUUAGACCUUGGUAUAAUCUUAAGAAUCCAAGAAUAUGAUAAUCUUAAACCUUUAACACUACACACAACGGUUAACCUAACUCCUACGUUGACACAAGAGGAACUUUACCUCCUCUAAACACCAACGUCUCAAGCCAACAUUGCAACACAAAUGAUAUCCACACUUGUUGCCCUCAUUUCGGUGUGUGGCUAUUCCAAGCCCUACAACUAAAGGUGUUUCAUGUUUCAAGUCUUACAUCAAUGAACAACUAAUGAGAAAAAGAUCUAAAAUGUUUUAUUUAUAUUCUAGACAAGGCAAAAUGACAACAAUGCCCUUAAAGGGUGGGGUGGCCAUGGAGUGCAUUUGAACCCAAUGAAGUGACCAAAAUACCCUUAAUGAAGAUGACCAAAUCAUGACCCAUUAAGUGUUGUCCAAAGCCGUGAGUCCUCAAGUCUUCGAUGCUCCAAGCAAUCUUCCACACACGGCCUUGCUAGUGCUCAAAAAGGGGUCUUCCUUGCAUAUUCUUGUGCCCUCGGGGUGACCAAGUCUUGAGCCUUUAAAUGAUGAUCUCCAAUCAUGUCUUCAAAAAUUAAGAUGGUCAUUUGACUUGUAUCAACUUCUUUUUCGCUACUGAUAUGAAUCAUGUUUUACACUAUUUAGUUACAAGCUCAGACUGCUAUCCAUAUAAAUACCCAAAUUCAGGUUUCUUCAGCCAUGGUGGUUUUAGAUUUACUAGUAUGUCUCAAUUCCUCUUAUGAAAACAAAGUAGUAGGUUUGAAUUGGCGGCCAGGUAUACCUUUUUCACUUUGCCAGCUUUUGGGCCAUUGAGAAAGUGUCAACCUUCUGCGAUGUUCCUCUGUUAACAAUCUUUUCUAGUUCUGUCCCAUCUGCAUAUAAUAUCCCAUCUGCAUAUAAUAUACUGGGUAUGUUGUUAUCGUCCCAUCUGCAUAUAAUACUCUAAAGACUUAGGGAACUCAGUUGGGAAAAUUUGUACUAAUUUCAUUUCUUUUCAACAUCAACAGUUUUUCAUGUUACCGAUCAGCAUGGCAAUAAGGUUACAGACAGCAAUACUAUUGGUCAUAUACAAAAGGUAAAAUAUCCCUCAUUUCCUCGCCUAUUGAUUUCAUAUUUUUUUAUGGUUUAUAUGCAAUAACUGCGGGGAUAAGACAACAAUUACUCUGACAGUUUCUUGUAUUCUUGUAUGAUAGGAUACAGAAACAGAAAAAGGAAAGAGAGGUGAAUUAAAACGUAGAAUCUUCCAAAUUUUGCUAUAAAUCAUGCACUCCAAGCUAGCCAUUGUAGUUGAUAUUAUAUUACUUUGGGUUUAUAUGCAGGCAUUGUCGACAUUUCCACACAUGCAUUUUGUUGCACCUAGCAUAUAUGAGUGUGUUACUUUCGGACACUUAUUACUUUAGGAACAUAUCGCUGGUGACAAAAAUUGUUACAGAAUAGCUGCUCAUUUGUUAGAUAAGAGUUACCAAUUCCACAAACUGAAUAGUUCCUGAUAAUGUGUUUGGAUUUGCCUAAUUUACCUGUGUGUUAUUGUCAUGAGUUUAUUGCUAUUGUAAUCCUCACUUUUACUACAGCUUUUCUUUUUUUUCACUUGAAGCCUUCCUGAACUUUGUAUUCAAGAUCCUAUUUACCCCAAUGACUACCAGUAAAAUCGUAUUCAUGUGGAGAAAAUGUAGCUGUCAUCUAGGUUGACUGAAACUGAUAAUGUAGCUACCCGAGGAAAAAAGACCUAGUUUUUAUCCAAGUUAUUAACGAUGCCAUUGAAUUUCUUAUAUUAGGCUCUAGGACCAGAAGGUUACACAUCAGGCAUACUGAAGACUUGGCCAGGUAGAAAGGUAGGAGAGAGCUCUGUGGGUGAUUACACCACAAUUGAGCUGAUCGGCAGGGAUCGUCCAGGUCUUCUAUCAGAAAUUUCUGCUGUUCUAGCCAAUCUUCAUUUUAAUGUCGCUGCUGCCGAGGUUUGGACUCAUAAUAGGCGCAUAGCAUGUGUCCUUUAUAUCAAUGAUAAUUGUUCAUCCCUUGAUGAGGAUGAAGAAUCCAGAUUGUGUGUCAUGGAAGAGCAACUCAAUAACAUUCUUCGUGGACGUGAGGAUGAUGAGAGUGGGGCUCAUGCUACUUUGUCAGUUGGUAGUACUCAUGUUGAUCGGAGGCUUCAUCAGAUGUUCGUUGCUGAUAGGGAUUACGAAGGUGGUUGUCUCGAAAUGGAGAUAGAAUACCCUCCUAACUCCAAACCAGACGUCAGAAUUGAAAGCUGUGUUGAGAAAGGGUACUCAGUGGUCAGUGUAAGUUGCAAGGAUAGACCAAAGCUUAUGUUUGACAUUGUAUGCACCCUCACAGACAUGCAGUAUGCUGUUUUCCAUGCCACUAUCUCAUCAGCUGGUCCCUCUGCAUCACAGGUAAUCUGAUUAUGUAAUUCUGAUAACUGCAAAGAUAAACUUAAGUACGGAGGGUAGAUCAUUUUAUAUAACUUGUGCCAUAGUUCCUGAGAUUCUUUCCAGUAUAAACGUGGCUCUACACUGGAAUUACUGAUGGAGUGUCAUUAAGCUUUGAUUCCAAAAUGUAAUAUGAAGAUUACUGAAUUUAUAGGAGUAUUUUAUUCGCCAUAUGGAUGGUUGCACUCUGGAAUCUGAAGCGGAGAAGGAAAGGGUUGUGAAGUGUAUUGAAGCUGCAAUUCGACGAAGGAUAAGUGAUGUAAGGGAGAUUACCUACUCUUCUUAGUCCUGAACGUUUCUCAAGAUUCGAUGCCACCAGGUAGAACAUACUUAAUUCCUUUGAUAUGCAGGGUUUCAGCCUAGAGCUGUGUGCCAAGGACCGAGUUGGCUUACUUUCUGAAGUUACAAGAGUCCUACGAGAAAAUGGGCUAUCAGUGACCAGAGCUGGUGUCACAACUAUUGGGGAGAAAGCAAAGAAUGUCUUCUACAUAAGAGAUGCAUCUGGAAAACCUGUCGAGAUGAAGACGAUUGAAAGACUGCGUGAGGAAAUUGGACAGACGAUGAUGCUUAAUGUGAAGAAAGACCCAACAUCUGCAAAGGUACCUGAAACUGGUGGUCUGGCUAAGACAAGCUUUUUCUUUGGAGGCUUACUGGAAAAGUUCCUAACUUAAAAGUUCAUCUGUUGUGAGCUUACCUACUUAUAUAGAAGAAUAAAGCAAUUAAUUAUAAGUCAAACGCAUAAAUGUGGCAAGGUUUCCCUGUAAAAAUAUGUGUAGAUACAUUGGACAAUUAUCCUUGCCAGGAUAAACAAAGGGAAAAAGAUUGGAAGAAAAAAGAACCUGCCCCAUUCAGUCUUAUUCUGUGCUGAAGUGUGGAAUUAUCCGAUGACUGUGUGCUGUUCUUGCACAAUAAAAGAUGAAAGUAUGACUUUAGGAUUAAAACUUUGGUCCAGAAAUGCUACUAUUGAAGAUUGAACAAAGAAAGCCAAUACAUUUUAGUGUACUUGAUCUUGAUGUCUAUGUUGUGUAGUUGUAGCAGCCCAAAAAUGAGCUGCUGACAUUGUUGUGAUUUUAACCUUUAGCUCCUUCAGUUUAUUAGCUGGUUGAGUAUUUUCCCUUCAUUUGUCAGUUAACUGGAAGUAUGCUUAGGUCAAUGUUUGUAACUUUAAUUUUAAUUAGUUCCUCCUAUGCUAUCUACAUGCUAGUAGAAAAUAUAACAUUGGUCAAAUGUAAAAAUACCAAACAUUGAUCCAAUCUAGUUAAACUCCUUCAAGCAGGGGUAGAUACACCAGCUUCCUCUGACAGCUGUCUCGGGACAGCGCUUCUGUCACGAACCGAGCCGAGGCCAUCGCCGCGAUGGGUUUCCGAACCACGAAGGCCUGAGAGACCCCUUAGCAUACUAUCAUAAGCAUAAUCUAUACAUAAAUCAAAGUGUGGAAGAGAUAACAAAAUUCAAGUUGAUCCUAUGAUCAAUAUAUGUCAAUAAAGUUAUGUCAAUACAACACUCAAAUUCCGUCUACAAAGCCUCUACUGUCGAGAUGAAGACUAUUGAAAGACUGCGUGAGGAAAUUGGACAGACGAUGAUGCUUAAUGUGAAGAAAGACCCAACAUCUGCAAAGGUACCUGAAACUGGUGGUCCGGUUAAGACAAGCUUUUUCUUUGGAGGCUUACUGGAAAAGUUCCUAACUUAAAAGUUCAUCUGUUGUGAGCUUACCUACUUAUAUAGAAGAAUAAAGCACUUAAUUAUAAGUCAAACGCAUAAAUGUGGCAAGGUUUCCCUGUAAAAAUAUGUGUAGAUACAUUGGACAAUUAUCCUUGCCAGGAUAAACAAAGGGAAAAAGAUGGGAAGAAAAAAGAACCUGCCCCAUUCAGUCUUAUUCUGUGCUGAAGUGUGGAAUUAUCCAAUGACUGUGUGCUGCUCUUGCACAAUAAAAGAUGAAAGUAUGACUUUAGGAUUAAAACUUUGGUCCAGAAAUGCUACUAUUGAAGAUUGAACAAAGAAAGCCAAUACAUUUUAGUGUACUUGAUCUUGAUGUCUAUGUUGUGUAGUAGUAGCAGCCCAAAAAUGAGCUGCUGACAUUGUUGUGAUUUUAACCUUUAGCUCCUUCAGUUUAAUUUUUAGCUGGUUGAGUAUUUUCCCUUCAUUUGUCAGUUAAUUGGCAGUAUGCUUAGGUCAAUGUUUGUAACUUUAAUUUUAAUUAGGCCCUCCUAUGCUAUCUACAUGCUAGUAGAAAGUAAAACAUAGGUCAAAUGUAAAAAUACCAAACAUUGAUCCAAUCUAGUUAAACUCCUUCAAGCAGGGGUAGAUACACCAGCUUCCUCUGACAGCUGUCUCGGGACAGCGCUUCUGUCACGAACCGAGCCGAGGCCAUCGCCGUGAUGGGUAUUCCGAACCACGAAGGCCCCAGAGACCCCUUAGCAUACUAUCAUAAGCAUAAUCUAAACAUAAAUCAAAGUGCGGAAGAGAUAACAAAAUUCAAGUUGAUCCUAUGAUCAAUAUAUGUCAAUAACAACUCCAUUAUCGAUAAUUCAGCAACUCCAUUAACAACAACAACAAAAUCACUAAUCAAUCUUCACCAUUGAAGACAACAUCAAAGAAAGGAGAAACUCCAUUAAGCACAAAAUGAGUAACGAUUCUUCACCAUUGUCAACAACAUCAAAGAUGUGGAAAAAAAAUUCUUUCUUUUUUACAAAAUCAGUUAACUGAUUAAGAAAUCUUUUUUUCAUUUAUUAAUGGAGCUGCUGAUUCAACAACAAUUAACUUUUAAUACUCCCUCCGUCCCAUUUUAUGUGUCAUCAUUUCCUUUUUAGUUCGUCCCAAAAAGAAUGUCAUGUUUCCUUAUUUGGCAAAUAUUUAAAAACACAACUACACUUUUACCCUUAUUGGUCCCACUUAAUUAAAAAAAAAGAUAGAAACACAUUUUUUUAUAAAGGACAAUUUGGUAAAUAUUAUCAAGUCUUCCCUUAUUUCUUAAACUCCGUGCCCGAUCAAAUGGCGACACAUAAAAUGGGACGGAGGGAGUAAUGACCAUGAGUUUGCAUAAACCUUAUCGCUUUGAGAAAGACCCGACAUAAAAUGAAUCGAUAACAUAUAGAAAGCAUAGUUUCUUAGAACCAAACAUAAUGUGAGACAUGGAUUUAUGGAUCAUGAGCAUCAUAACAUAGAGCUUAAAUACUUGUAAGCUUGGAUUGUUAAGAGACAUUAUGUCUUCUAGUUUUGAGGUCGAAACAUGACAUAAGUGUAGGGAGAACUCAAACCUUAAGCAUAGGCAUUGAAGUAGGAGGAGUUUGCUUGAAUAGGAAUAGAUUUAUCAUGACUCUUCCCUAAAACUCGCCACAAUGACAUAAUUUAAGAACUACCUUAAUUCACCAUCUCCCUCUUAGAUCAAAGUCACAUUCCUAGAUUUACGGACAUAUCCUCUCAUCAGAUCUAUAAUCACAACUCUCAACACAAUUGCGGGGGAGGGGUAUCACUAUACAGUUGAACAUCAGACUCGCCCUCGCCCUGCCCUCGCCCUGAUAAACUAUAUAAGAAAAGUACUAACUUCUUGCUAAGACAUUCCUUCCAAGGGCACUACUCUCAACUUCGUCUAGCCUCCAAGCUUGAACUCUAACCUCACUGCCUUUCAACCUUAGUUUGGAAAUAAAGAGUGACCCUUUUGAGAGAAAGCGAAAGUUUUAAGGCUUAAAGACGGGCUAUGAAAAGAUUGGAUGGUUUAUAGGACAUAAAAGGACCAAGAUAACCUUAAUACACUUUAAAAACGAACUCCCGUCGACGAAAGAAGGGAGGUCCUUGGCAUGAAGCCCAAAGUGAACCUCCAGCUCUGCGGCGCGAAGCCCAAUGCAAAGCAGCAUCCGCGAUGCAUAGCCCAGUGCGAAGCUGAGGUAGUGAGCCGUCAUGGCUCCCUUGUGGUGCGAAGCCACUGUAAACUCACCUCUUUGCGACGCACAAUCUAAUUUCCAUGCCCAAACUUUCCCCAAUGCAUUAAAACCUAUCUCAGGACGUCUUAUAUUCAAUCUUGGGAUCACGUAAGCUCGUUUUAAGCACAAUUUAGACUCCACAAACACCCAACUGUUACAAACUCUUUGCUACAACACUAAUCCUCGUAUCCAUAUAUAUAUAUAUAUAUAUAUAUCAAAAAUUUUCACUCAAACUUCUUAUAAGUUGUCAACCUAGGCCCCUUUCACACAUUACAUCAAGCCUACUAAUUCAUUCCCACAAAUCUUGCAUCACAAUUCUUCAGUUAACAUUCUUAUCACCACAAUCCACAUCCAAAGUUCAAGCCUAGUUCCUAGCACCAAUCGUGUACCACCAAUGAGAUGUCCCACAUCAAAUGUGUAUGCAAAAAUUGGAACGAUCUUAUCAAAAACUCGAGUUCAUUGAAAAACACUUCAACAGUGAUGGUAAUCGUCUCCGUCUAACGAUUUGCAAGUUUGGUGUUAACAACCAGAAAGAUCCCAUAAAGAUUUUCGAUGCGUACUUGCUCCCUGAUAAAUAUUUACCGGAUGUGUCCCUACUCAUCAGCUGAUUUACCGUUGCGAUGAUGUUGGUGAUUUUAGAUGUAUUUAUGGUCCAAUUAAUGGCUUAUUCUUAUUAGAGAAAGGACAUUACAUAGAUAACGGUCGAUUUGUCUGAUGGAACCCUGCAACGAAAGAGUGUAGGCUUAUUCCUCGUGCUGUUUUCGAGGUACAAAAAUAUUUCGAAGACAACAAGCGUAGUGUUGGAAUAGGAAUAGACCUAGCGAAUCAUGAUUAUAAAAUCAUAUGGGUACGGUUAUUUUGGGAUGAUUUGCAGAGCGAUGUUUUCCUUAAGGUUUAUGCUGUUGUCUAUUCGACGAAAAAUAACUAAUGGAAGCACUUGGAGCCGAAUUUCUCACAUGAAUGUCAACUAUGUUUAUCCCAAAAUUGUACCUACAAGAAUGGUAUGUACUAUUGGAUUAGUACUAGCAGGAGGUUUUGCAAUAGAGAGAAAAACGUGUAUUUUAUUCGAACAUUUGAUUUUUCAACUGAAUUAUUCGGGCAAUUGGAAGGACCACCAAUUCCAGGUGACCAUUGGACAUCGUUAAUGUUACGAGGUAGUACACUUGCAACUAUGUCUAGUGAUGAUGUUACACAGGAAAUGACGGCUUGUUACGAUAUAUGGGUAAUGAUUCGAGAAAAUAAUUGGAUCAAAGUUUAUACUGUGAAUCCAUCAAUACCAUCACAUUGGCCUGUUGGGAUUUGGGAGUAUGACAAGUUUAUUUUUGAACACACACAAACUUGCAAGUUGGUGUUUUAUGAUCAAACAGCUAAACAACUUACAAGUUUUGGAUUUCAAUUUUUCGAACUAGGUUGUGGCUCCGAUUGGGCUAUGAGUUAUAAGGAGAGCUUAGUUCCGAUAAGUAAAGAAAAACCGACUGAGAAGGACAAUGUUGACCUCUUCUUGAUAAAGUUAUAAACAAGCACGAGCAACGAGUUAAAGUUCGAAAAAAGUCUUUUUUAUGAUUCGAUCAUUUAUAUGAUUGAGCUGUGAAAACUUUUGCAUAGAUACCCUACAUCAGAAUUCUAAGCUGAAUUAUUUUUGGUUGAAGAAUCUCUUUCUAGUUGCUUUGAAAUAAUUAGGAGAUUCUCGAAAUACGCAAUAUCCCGCUUAUGGAAUCAAAUCAAUAUGUUCUCCCGGAGAAAUGUGAGGAUGAUAUUGUAAAUGUAGAGGUCAAAUGUUUGAAUAUGGGUUUUUGUUCCUUAUUUUGCAGUAUUUUUUUUAUUUCUCUGAAAAGAAAAGUUCAAAUUUUUGCGAUCCAAAAAACAUGUUCAUCAGGAAGUAUUGAAAUAUUGAAAACUUCAGAAUCCUUACAAGAACUCUUAGAAAUUGCCAAACAAUUUUAUUACAAAUGGACUAGUCAGCUUCAAGGUGUGUUUGGAUAAAUAGUUGGUGAUAGUUCAAGUAGAAAACACAAACAUUUGAUAGUUCAGGCAGAAACCUCGCAAAAAUGUGAUACUUCAGGUGUGUUUUUGACCAUUAUCUCUUUAAUUAAUGGUGAUUAUAUUGAGGGUCCUACUAAUGAAGAUGCCUCAAUUUCAACCCAAAUUAUAGUUGCAUAAGGCAAUUAGGUUUAUAUCAAUUGCAAAUGAAUUCAACUAAUGAACAACGAGCUUGUUAGGCCAAGUUUUUACUUUUGCCAAGAUAGCUUUUUCAGAAAAUAUUUCCUGAGAGAUGCCGCUUAUGUUUGGCCAAUCAAUUGCUUUUCCUUGUAUUUGUUGAUUCAUUUGUCGUUUUGAUGAAUAACAAACAAAGUUUAUUUGUAAGGAAAUUACGAAGUUGGUCUAGUUAUUAAAUUAAUCAGAAAAAAUUGUUUUGAACAUCUAAAGAACAUAAGAUUCGAAUUGUCAUCACACAUAAAAGUCAUAUUAUUAACUAGGAAAGUUAGGCAGCAGUUGGAAUCAAGGAUCUAUUUAUUCAGCUAAAAGAUACAAUUUAUAAGUGGUGGAAUACUAAACUUAGACCACUACUUAUUACCGCACCUGUUUUUAUACUGUGUCAACUUUGGAAGAAAAGAAAUACCAUUAAACAUGGAGGUAAGUUGUCAAUUCAUGGCAUGAAACUUGAAGUGAAUAGGAAUAUCCAUCUUUUGGUAAGAUAAGGUAUCCUUCAUUUAGAAAUCUGCCUAAUAAUUAGUCUAUGUUGGUCAUGAUUCUGGAAGCUUACAAGCUUAGCAUUCAGGCUACUAUGGUAAACUGGAAACCCCUGAUCAUUGGUGUUAUCAACUGUAAUUCCGAUGGAGCAUCUAGAGGCAAUCCUGACCCUAGUGCUGGUGCUUUCUGUAAUAGAAAUAGUGAAGGUGAAUUCAUUUAUGCCAAUUCUUUCAAUUAUGGUAUAUUAACUAGCUUGGAGGCAGAAGUUUGUGCUUUUAAGAGGGGUUUGGAGUAUUGUGUCACUCUUAUCUUAAAGAAGAUCCUAGAUGGAGUUUGGGAAGUUCCUUGAAAGAUUGCAAUGGAUAUUAGGAGGAUUCUAUGGUAGAUGAAACAAUUUCAGGUGGAAGUGGUGCACACACAAAGGGAAGGAAACAAACUGCCAAAUUUUUUUGCUAACAAAGUUUUCUUGUUUGCAGGAUAUCAAAAUAGAGAAUAUAAAUCACUGCAGGAUAUUAUAGGCGGAGAAAAAAUAAUUGUAACAAUGGACAAGUACCAGAUACACUCAAUAAGGAUUGUCAAAUGCCAGAACAAUAAUUUUUAUAUCUAAAUGGCAACCAAGGUAGACUACAAUUCAGAUGUAAACAUAGAAGAUAAACAUCUACAUCGAUAAACAUCUAUAUCUAUUCCAAUCUAGAUCUAGAACAUAUUAAAAGUGUGAAGACCUUAGAAAAGUGAUUUGAAUUUUUUUGCCCUUCAUUAAAAGAUUCUGUAAUAGAUAAAAUCGUCUUUUCAUAUUUUUCUUCAAUUUAUAUUAUUGAAUAUUGACUACAAUAAAUACAUAAAAAAGUAAAAUGGAAAAGAUUUUCUACUUUAGUUGAAUUCCUAAAUUUAUGGCAAUAUUUUGUUAGAGAGAAUCCAACUUCAAAGAAAUUAUAUUAUAUAAAUAGGUUUUAAUAUUUUUUUUUUUUUAAAUUGACUAUUUUACAUAAAAUAGAUUAUUAAGACUCCUAAAAGAAGAAGAAAGAAAAUUCUUCCAAAAAUAAUUGCAAUGCGUGUAUUCCAAUUAAUAAAGGAUAGUAGACUUCAUAAAUAGAAAGGUACUAUUUUUUUAAGUUAGGAUUAUUAUUCUUUUGUUAUAAUAUUUUAGUUUAGAAGUUCUUGUAUUUCUUUCCUUUUUCCAAUUUUACAAGUCUUUUUUUAGGUUUAUACGUAUACAUUAUUUGGAUAAUAUUACUUUAUUGUGCUCGUAGCUUUGUUAUUGGGUAACUUUGUGAUUUUUCAAUUUUAAAUUUUUAUUUAUAUUACGUUUUGAUUUUAUUACUCAUAAAUAACAAAUCAUCCUUUUAUGUUUGUGAAUAGAUUAGUUAUUGGAUCUCUAAUAUAAUGUUUUAGUUUAAUUUCCAAGUUUCGAAUUUUCUUUUCUACUAUGCUGGUUUUGUUGAUCAAAACAUCUUUUCGUGUUUGUAUAUAUGUAACUUUCAUCAUUGAAUCUACAACGUAACUUUGUUGUUUCUAGGUUUCAAGUAACUUUCGUUAUUAAGUAACUUUGUGGCUUCUAUUCAAAUAAUAAGUUUAUGAAUUUUUGUGUAAAGAUUAGGUUUAAUUAUAUUGUUUUGAUAUCUUUAUUAUCAUAUUAUCUUGUUGUAAUUUACAUGUAGUAGAUAAAUAUCGGUCGGUUUUGAAAAAACUAUUUCAGUAAAAGAUUAGGCUUAAUUGCAUUAUUUUGAUGUCUCUACUUUGAGAAUUUUUUUAUUGUAUAAAGGUUAGAUUUGGUUGUAUUGUUUUGAUGUCACUAUUAUCGUAUUGUUUUAUUGUACUUGACAGGUGGCAGAUGAAUGUCGAUCGACUUUGAGGAAUUCUUUUUGCAAAAGUUAAGUUUAAUUAUAUUAUUUUAAUAUCUCUAUCAUCGUAGUAUUUUAUUGUACUUUAUAUGUGGUAGAUAAUCUAUUUCCAUUGGCUUUGAGAAUUUUUUUUUGGUAUAUGUUAGGUUUAAUCAAACAAAUUCUCCAUCUCUACAUGUUCAAAAAUAUUGAAUUUAAUUAUUAUCUCCUUUUUUAUUAUUUAAACAAAUAUUUUAUUUAGUAUAAUAUUUGAACUCAUUAAAUUGAGAUACACGCGCGAGACGCGUAUAACUAGACUAGUACAUACAAUGGCUCCGAAAUCAAGUCGAGGGACAAUGGAUUAGACAGGCAAUAGCAAAAAAUCGGGUUUUUUUAGUCAUCAACAUAAAAACAUGCAAACAAGUGCAUUUCAGGAUUUCGAUUAAGAUUUGCAUCUUACCUUCUCCGGAGUUAGUAGAAUCAACUGAAUCAGUACUCUUACGCAGUGGUAUCAGUUCCCCGUUGAGCUCAAUCUGUCGAGGGUAUGACUUAGUCGAUUUGGUUGCUAUAGAUGAUAGGUAAUUGAAGGGCAAAGUACGAACAACUCAAUUAGUCAGUCUUGUGCUAAGAAGAGUUGAAUAAGUCUUUCUAUGGCUCGAUUUCAUGGCAUUUGUGACACGUUGGUAAAUGUCCGAAAUGAAGUCCACCAUAACUCAGCUUUCGAACAAUUUUGGCAUUGUUUUCAUAGAUCUGUAGUUAUUUCGCACACACCGUCGGCAAUCAGAGCAGUCUCAGCGUCGCCAUAUCAGAAAAGACGAUGCUCAGUAUCCACAAUAUCUAGAGACUUCCUAGCUCCCUUUCUAUUAUUUUCAGAUUUUAGUAGUUGUCUUUUUGUUUUUUUU